rnacentral:tRNA from 1 species
ACCCGGCUGGCUCAGAGGAGCACGUGACUCUUAAUCUCGAGGUUGUGACUUCGAGCCCCACGUUGGGUG